AGUGGCGGACGGGUGAGGAAUACAUCGGAAUCUACUUUUUCGUGGGGGAUAACGUAGGGAAACUUACGCUAAUACCGCAUACGACCUACGGGUGAAAGCAGGGGACCUUCGGGCCUUGCGCGAUUGAAUGAGCCGAUGUCGGAUUAGCUAGUUGGCGGGGUAAAGGCCCACCAAGGCGACGAUCCGUAGCUGGUCUGAGAGGAUGAUCAGCCACACUGGAACUGAGACACGGUCCAGACUCCUACGGGAGGCAGCAGUGGGGAAUAUUGGACAAUGGGCGCAAGCCUGAUCCAGCCAUACCGCGUGGGUGAAGAAGGCCUUCGGGUUGUAAAGCCCUUUUGUUGGGAAAGAAAUCCAGCUGGCUAAUACCCGGUUGGGAUGACGGUACCCAAAGAAUAAGCACCGGCUAACUUCGUGCCAGCAGCCGCGGUAAUACGAAGGGUGCAAGCGUUACUCGGAAUUACUGGGCGUAAAGCGUGCGUAGGUGGUUGUUUAAGUCUGUUGUGAAAGCCCUGGGCUCAACCUGGGAACUGCAGUGGAAACUGGACGACUAGAGUGUGGUA
rnacentral:rRNA from 1 species